rnacentral:rRNA from 1 species
GUGAACGCUGGCGGCGUGCCUAACACAUGCAAGUCGAACGAUGAUGGAGAGCUUGCUCUCCUGAUUAGUGGCGCACGGGUGAGUAUACCAUAGAUAAUGUACCUCUUAGUUUGGGAUAGCCACUGGAAACGGUGAUUAAUACCAGAUACUCCUUCUCGUUAUAAGACGAGUCGGGAAAGAUUUAUCGCUAAAGGAUGGGGCUUUAUUGUAUCAGCUAGUUGGUGGGGUAAUGGCCUACCAAGGCAAUGACGCAUACCUGGUCUGAGAGGAUGAUCAGGCACACUGGAACUGAGACACGGUCCAGACUCCUACGGGAGGCAGCAGUGGGGAAUAUUGCACAAUGGAGGAAACUCUGAUGCAGCAACGCCGCGUGGAGGAUGACGCAUUUCGGUGUGUAAACUCCUUUUAUAGGGGAAGAUAAUGACGGUACCCUAUGAAUAAGCACCGGCUAACUCCGU